rnacentral:misc_RNA from 2 species
AACGCACCUUGCACCCUUUGGUAUGCCAAAGGGUACACCCGUUUGAGUGUCAUUGUAAUCUCACUACGAUUGACUUUGUCGUCUUUCUGUAUGUGGACUUGGAUGUUGUCGUGGAUAUCCACAACUCGUCUGAAAUGCCUGAGUGUAUCCCGCUUUGCGGCGUAUUCGGUGUGAUACAUCUUCACCGGAGUUGAUCCCUUUGGGUCGCGUCUAUAUGAGUGUGGCUCUAUGCUUCCAACCGUCUUCCAGGAGACAAUUUCUGACAAUUUGACCUCAAAUCGGGUGGGACUACCCGCUGAACUUAA